GCUUUCAUGGAAGCUUUGGGACCCAGAUAGAAGACAAUGAAAUGCUGGUGUAGUCUAAGACCAAGAAGAGCCAUUUUGAGCAGACAGCUUGAAACCAUGCAACUGACUCAUGGACUGGUCCAGCUACAGAAAAGAAAGAACUGUUCUUCCUGACAGCUCCUCUGCAGCCUCAUUUGGAUUUGGGUCUGUCACCAACAUCAUUACCAAGGGACCGAGUCAUUUCUACCUAUACAUCAGUAAUGAACAAAAUUGGUGGUGAUUCCAUCAAGAUGGUGAUGGUGACAGGUUGCCCCUGAUGACUCCUCACAGGAAUGACUAACAACUGCCCACGAACAAGGAAUUGGGAGAAUCCUACAACACUGGACUGUGGCAGAAGCACCCGCUGCACCAGGGAGGCCAAGACAGACCGCUUUGGAAGCCUGUAAAUGGAUAAUGUGUAUAGCUGGUGAAUCGAAACAGCACCGUGACCAUGGUAUUUGGAGAAAGAGUUAAGCAUCGGAAGAAUCAAAAAUAUAAAUAAUUGAAAAUGAUUGUCUCUGAAGACUGCUCAGUGGAAAGAAGGGGAGACCUUAAAUCCUCAACCAGAACAGUUGAUGAGAUGGCAGAAUCCUAAACAGAAGUCAGGACAGUGGUGCUAAAGAUGGCAUUAUUUGUUGAAUCCUUCACUUGCUAUAGGUCAGGUAUGGUUUAGAUGUUGGAAGGUUCUAUGUGGCUCCUCUGGUCUUCAAUGGAGCCCCUCGGGGGUUCCCAUUGAUGGAGAAACUGAGACCCAAAGUAGUGAAGUGGCUUUUCUAGACUGUGUGGCAAGUAAGUUCCUGAUUUAUUGAAACCUUAUUGAAGCCUUACAUCAGGGUCAGGCUUAGAGUCUGUAUCCAGUAGCUUUUCAUAUUCUACACAUGCCAUCUUAACAGUAUGAAUAUAAGUAGUGUAUCCUUAUGAAGCAGUAGUCUUGAAAAA